AGGUGAUUGAAUGUUACAUUAGAGCCAUACUCAUCUCUGAGGACACUGCUGUCCGACUGUACCACAUGGAUCACUACAUCAUGGGUGUUAUUUUAAACGGCACCAGAGAGCAGAUGGCCAGGCAAUUGUUAAAAAAGAGAGGAGAGCAGACAGAUGGCUGACAUGAUGCUCUACUGGUUUAGAUUCCUACUCUGGCUUUGGUUCGCGUGGCUGGCAGGAUCAUUGGAGCUGAAUGGUACUGUAGGUGGGAACAUCACAACACCCCAUAGUGGGAAAGGCUUUGUAACUCUUAAACACAAUGAAGAAACUGUGAUGUUUGUGCAGAAUAAUGUCAGUGAGUCAUACUCAAAAAAAAACAACAAGUAUCUGUGGUCCAACACCACUGGAUGGUUCACUAUAAAUGAUCUGGAGAAAACUGAUGCAGGGAACCUGAGUAUCACCUUCAGCGAUGGGACUGUAACGUACAAGCUGACUGUCUACGACUCUGUAGGGCCUCCUGCUGUCCAAACACUGAGUGUGAGCUCUGACAGCUGCUAUCUGCUGUGUGCUGUGGACAAAGCUGCAGAGAUCACACUGUGGUGGUACAAAGAUGAGGAGGUGGUGAACCAGAGCAGCUCUGCUGGAUCUCUGGCUCUCACUGUGACCAAACAGGACCUCAACUCUUCAUAUGCAUGUGUGGCUGGAAACCCUGCAGAGAAUGAGACUUUUACAGUGCAUCUUCCGAAGGUCUGUGGAGAGAACUUCACCAACAGCAGCUCAGAGAACAACCAUAGUCAUGUUUGGAUCAUAAUUGGAGUCUCUGCUGCACUUGCAUUCGCUGCCUUUUCAAUCUGGAAGUGUUUCAGGAAAAACACACCAACCACAGACAGAAGAGGUUCAGCGGAGAAGAACUCAGUAGUGUAGUAUGUUAAAGGAAAUGCUUUUCCUGACAGCCAGAAUCAGGGAGAAGGUGAAGGACAAAAUGCUGAUGGCUACCAUGUGACGGUGGUUAGAAGCAUGAAGAAUCACUAGGGUGCUGCCUGAUAGAGACACCGAAGAUAUCCCACUUUAAAUGAAGCAGUGUUUUCUUACAUGAAGAAAUAACGAAAAAAACAAAGAUGAAGCUUCUGCCUCAUUAUUGGAAACACAAUUCAAAGUUCAUAUGAGAUGAAGUUCAUGAGUGCAUCAAGUUUGGAAACUACCAGAGACGAAGUGCAAUAAACUUACAAAAAUAGGCUCGGUUUUCUAAAAUAUUAAGGCAAAGUAUUGUGGCAUUAUGGCAUGGAUGCAUCAAAUGAGCUGAUGUUUAACAGCUGAUUAAGUCCAAACAGGGUUUUAAUUUUCUCCUUAUCAGACUAAUGUUCCAUAUUCUUUUAGUUUCACUGUGGUUCAUUCUUUCUGAUUUACCAACAAAUAUAUUGUAGGAGCUUCAGUAACAAUCAACUGGACUUCUCUUAUCAGUUCUUGAAGACAUUUCCCCUUCAUCCAAGGUUCUUCUUCAGUUCCAACUGACUAAUGGUGAGUUACAGAGUUUGUAGUUCCUCCAGCUCACAUGGCUAAUGACCCGUUAACAACCAGGACAUCGGUCUCCAGGUAUGGAUGUUGUGAAACCAGGCGAUCCACCGACUAUGACAGCGAUCAUGGUGGUGGAGCUUCCAGUUUUAUACAGCAAAGGAUGUGAAUCUGUCAAGUCAGGAGAGACUCAAGAUGUUAACGAUGGAGAAACUUUCUGGAAAGAGAUCUAAUCACAGCAUUAUAGGUGUUUGAUAAGUGGUGUCACAAACCCCCUCCUCUGUUUAGAGAUGACUGUUCCAGUUUGACAUAGAGGGCUUCCUUCACUCCUCUCAAACCAUCUGUCCUCUCUGUCCAUAAUGUAGACAUUGCUGUCCUCAAAGGAAUGUCCUUUAUCCUUUAGAUGCAGGUGGACUGCUGAGUCUUGUCUGUUCUAUGUUGAGACGUGAAGCUGUCGUUUAGUCAACACUAAUUAAAGGGGAAACACCUAAAAAAAAAAAAAAAAAAAAACACCACACGAGAAGUCCAG
ensembl:lncRNA